UGAGGAACAUGACCUUCGGCGGGGGAUAGCCGGCCCAACGGCCGGGUAAUACCGCGUACGACCACAUGGGGACAUCCCUGAGUGGUGAAAGCAGCAAUGCGCCGAUGGAGUGCCUCGCGGCCUAUCAGCUAGUUGGUGAGGUAACGGCUCACCAAGGCGUCGACGGGUAGCCGGCCUGAGAGGGUGACCCGGCCACACUGGGACUGAGAUACCGGCCCAGACCUCCGUACGGGGAGGNAGCG
rnacentral:rRNA from 1 species